UACGCAGGUGGCAAGCGUUACUCGGAAUUACUAGGCGUAAAGGGCAGGUAGGCGGUUUGGUUAGUCUGUUGUGAAAGCUCCUUGCUUAACGGGGAGAGGCCAACAGAUACUGCCAGACUUGAGUAUAGGAGAGGGUACUGGAAUUCCCGGUGUAGCGGUGAAAUGCGCAGAGAUCGGGAGGAACACCAAUGGCGAAAGCAGGUACCUGGACUAUUACUGACGCUCAGCUGCGAAAGCUAGGGGAGCAAACAGG
rnacentral:rRNA from 1 species